AAUAGGCUUGGUCCUGGCCUUUCUAUUAGCUCUUAGCAGGAUUACACAUGCAAGCAUCCCCGCUCCAGUGAAGACGCCCUACAAAUCAUCAUGACCAAGAGGAGCAAGCAUCAAGCACGCACACGCAGCUCAAAACGCUUUGCCUAGCCACACCCCCACGGGAGACAGCAGUGACAAAUAUUUAGCAAUAAACGAAAGUUCAACUAAGCCAUGCUAUAUUUAGGGUUGGUCAAUUUCGUGCCAGCCACCGCGGUUACACGAUUAACCCCAGCUAAUAGGGAUCGGCGUAGAGGGUGUUUAAGAUCUAACAUAAUAAAGCUAAACUCCACCUAAACUGUAAAACCCUAGCUAAUGUAAAAUAAACUACGAAAGUGGCUUUAAAGCUUCUGAACACACAAUAGCCAAGACCCAAACUGGGAUUAGACACCCCACUAUGCUUGGCCCUAAACCUCAGUAAUUAGAUAACAAAACUACUCGCCAGAAUACUACAAGCAACAGCUUGAAACUCAAAGGACUUGACGGUGCUUUACAUCCCCCUAGAGGAGCCUGUUCCAUAAUCGAUAAACCCCGAUCCACCCUACCCUCUCUUGCUCAGCCUAUAUACCGCCAUCUUCAGCAAACCCUAAUGAAGGCCACAAAGUGAGCGCAAACGCCGCCGCCGCGAAUACGUUAGGUCAAGGUGUAGCCCAUGAGACGGUAAAAAAUGGGCUACAUUUUCUGUUUCAGAAAACCCCACGAAAACCCUUAUGAAACUUAAGGGUCCAAGGAGGAUUUAGCAGUAAAUUAAGAAUAGAGUGCUUAAUUGAACCAGGCCAUAAAGCGCGCACACACCGCCCGUCACUCCUCUCAAAUAUAUUUAAGGAAUAUCCUAACUAAACGCCCUAAUAUUUAUAUAGAGAGGAUAAGUCGUAACAUGGUAAGCGUACUGGAAGGUGCGCUUGGAUAAAU
rnacentral:ncRNA from 1 species